rnacentral:rRNA from 1 species
ACAUGCCUACAACAUAACGUUAAUGCAUUGGAUCCCAUUAGAACUCCGCAGUUAAGCACACUCAGGCUAGAGUAGUACUAUGAUGGGUGACCACCCGAGAAGUCCUAUUAUUUUACUUGCC